rnacentral:rRNA from 1 species
GACGAACGCUGGCGGCGUGCCUAAUACAUGCAAGUCGAACGCAGUGGGGACGGGUGAGUAACACGUGGGUAACCUCCCCAUCAGAGGGGAUAACAUUUGGAAACAGGUGCUAAACCGUAACUGAUGGAUGGACCCGCGGUGCAUUAGCUAGUUGGUGAGGUAACGGCUCACAAAGGCCACGAGGCAUAGCCGACCUGAGAGGGUGAUCGGCCACACUGGGACUGAGACACGGCCCAGACUCCUACGGGAGGCAGCAGUAGGGAAUCUUCGGCAAUGGACGAAAGUCUGACCGAGCAACGCCGCGUGAGUGAAGAAGGUAUUCGGAUCGUAAAACUCUGUUGUUAGAGAAGCGGUAUCUAACCAGAAAGCCACGGCUAACUACGUGCCAGCAGCCGCGGUAAUAC